GCGAACGAGCUCUUUGAUUUUUCAACUGCUGGAGGAAAUAGACUUGGUAGGAAUCUUGUUGGAGAAGUAAACUACUGUCUGUGGCAACAGAAGAGCUUGAAAGAGGUUGAGAGUCAAGGAGGAGCACCUGCUGAGCGGAGUGGCUGUGAGUUGGACGAUAACUGUGCAGCGCCAGUCAUCCCUGCCAACCCGCUACUGCCACCUGCUGGCGAAUUUGAGUGUUGCCCUGCAGCUGCUCCAGGGGAAAUUUCUGGCAGUCGUUGCAAGGAGUGAUGUCCUGGGCCUUACAAGCACUACGGACGGCCAUGGAGACUGGGUUGAGUGUCUCAAAAUACUGGCGGCAGGCGGUUUGAAGCCCACUUCAAAGUUUGAAGACACGAGGAAAUCCACCACUGAUCAUGUGAACAUAAUCAGAUACAAAAAACGAGCAGAGGGCCAGUCUUCCUGUGGCUUUCGCUGGUGCACUAAGUGUUCACCGCAGUGGAAAAUAACACGGGGGAGGAGACACAAGAGGUGUUGUUGCCCACAUGUGCACAAAUACCCGGCCAGGCCAGCCACCCCUUUUUGUAAUUUUCAUUUACACUUUGACUUUGUCAGUUUAAAAUGGAGUCAAAAAAAGUUUGAAAGGCCGCGUAUCCAAACAAAUACAGACUUCAACAAGUGUGGAGAGCAAGCUUGGAUACUUUGUUUUUACCUGUAGCUGUCUAUGUGACAAUGAAAUGAAAUGUCCUAAAAACAAGAUGCAAUGUAGUGCAAUUAAAAAGAAAUUAGCUAAUAAAUCAUCAAGUACAAGCAUACUAGUCUCUGAAAGGACAAUAAUCGAAAGAUCUGAUCUGUUGACAAUUGAAGGGACGUAAUGAACUUCAAACUAAUAAAUAAACAUUUAAGCAGUGGU